ACCACGACUACAUUAGAUACCCGCGUAGUCCUAGCCGUAAACGAUACUCGCUAGGUGUCCGGCCACGGUGCGACCGUUGUCGGUGCCGUAGGGAAGCCGUGAAGCGAGCCACCUGGGAAGUACGGCCGCAAGGGCUGAAACUUAAAGGAAUUGGCGGGGGAGCACCACAACGGGUGGAGCUUGCGGUUUAAUUGGAUUCAACGCCGGAAAUCUUACCGGGACCGACAGCAACAUGAAGGCCAGGCUGAAGACUUUGCCGGAUUAGCUG
rnacentral:rRNA from 1 species